rnacentral:tRNA from 1 species
GGGAAUGUAGCUCAGUGGUGGAGCACCUGCCUGGCAAGUAUGAGGGCCUGAGUUCGAUUCCUGGUACCA